AUUGAACGCUGGCGGCAGGCCUAACCCAUGCAAGUCGAGCGAGCGGCGGACGGGUGAGUAAUGUCUGGGAAACUGCCUGAUGGAGGGGGAUAACUCCUGGAAACGGUAGCUCAUACCGCAUACCAUCAGAUGUGCCCCGAUGGGAUUAGCUAGUAGGUGGGGUAACGGCUCACCUAGGCGACGAUCCCUAGCUGGUCUUAGAGGAUGACCAGCCACACUGGAACUGAGACACGGUCCAGACUCCUACGGGAGGCAGCAGUGGGGAAUAUUGCACGAUGGGCGCAAGCCUGAUACAGCCAUGCCGCGUGUGUGAAGAAGGCCUUCGGGUUGUAAAGCACUUUCAGCGGGGAGGCGUUACCCGCAGAAGAAGCACCGGCUAACUCCGUGCCAGCAGCCGCGGUAAUAC
rnacentral:rRNA from 1 species